UUUCCGUAGGUGAACCUGCGGAAGGAUCAUUAAAGAAUUGCCCCGUCUUCUCGAAGAGGGGUUCUAUUCCAAACCGUGUUUACAUACCUUUGUUGCUUUGGCGUGCCGCCGCUUCGGCGUUGGCUCCGGCUGACUGCGCCCGCCAGAGGACCACAACUCGUUUGUUUAGUAAUGUCUGAGUACUAUCUAAUAGGUAAAACUUUCAACAACGGAUCUCUUGGUUCUG
rnacentral:misc_RNA from 1 species